rnacentral:rRNA from 1 species
AACGAACGCUGGCGGCAGGCUUAACACAUGCAAGUCGAGCGCCUCGCAAGAGGAGCGGCAGACGGGUGAGUAACACGUGGGAACGUGCCCAAAGGUACGGAACAACUCCGGGAAACUGGAGCUAAUACCGUAUGUGCCCGAGAGGGGAAAGAUUUAUCGCCUUUGGAUCGGCCCGCGUCUGAUUAGCUAGUUGGUAGGGUAAUGGCCUACCAAGUCGAAGAUCAGUAGCUGGUCUGAGAGGAUGACCAGCCACACUGGGACGGAGACACGGCCCAGAUUCCCACGGGUGGCAGAGUGGGGUAAUAUUGUAGGAUGCGGGCAAGCAUGAUCCAGCCAUGCCGCGUGCGUGAUGAAUGCCUUAGGGUUGUAAAGCUCUUUCGCCAGGGACGAUGAUGACGGUACCUGGAUAAGAAGCCCCGGCUAACUUCGUUCCAGCAGCCGCCGUAAGAC